AUUGAACGCUGGCGGCAUGCUUUACACAUGCAAGUCGAACGGCAGCACGGACUUCGGUCUGGUGGCGAGUGGCGAACGGGUGAGUAAUACAUCGGAACGUGCCCAGUUGUGGGGGAUAACUACUCGAAAGAGUAGCUAAUACCGCAUGAGAACUGAGGUUGAAAGCAGGGGAUCGUAAGACCUCGCGCAACUGGAGCGGCCGAUGGCAGAUUAGGUAGUUGGUGGGAUAAAAGCUUACCAAGCCGACGAUCUGUAGCUGGUCUGAGAGGACGACCAGCCACACUGGGACUGAGACACGGCCCAGACUCCUACGGGAGGCAGCAGUGGGGAAUUUUGGACAAUGGGCGAAAGCCUGAUCCAGCAAUGCCGCGUGCAGGAUGAAGGCCUUCGGGUUGUAAACUGCUUUUGUACGGAACGAAAAGCUUCGGGUUAAUACCCUGGAGUCAUGACGGUACCGUAAGAAUAAGCACCGGCUAACUACGUACCAGCCGCCGCAGUAAGAC
rnacentral:rRNA from 1 species